UUCCUCUGGGGAAUACUACAAAAUAAACCCUUUACUAAAGUAAAAUCAGAAUUCAGAAAUUUCCAAAAUCUUCAACCCGAUGUUCAGAAAUGCAAUCUUGCGAGAAUGCGAAACUGUUCGAACUUAUAGAAUAUGAAAUUGAUUUCAGGGAUGGGGAAGGGAGACGGGCGAGAAAGAAAGAGGCGCGAAAAUUGGAAUGUCUGGCCGAAUUCCAAGCCCUUUCUGCUCAGUCGUUUUGGGGGUGGUGAUCGUGUGCACGCAAUAAAACAUGAAAAAUGAGCAGAAAUUGCAGCCCUCUAAAGCUCAGGUCUACCCCUCCAUGAUUAUGAUGCCUUAGAUUGUCAAAUCUCUCUGGGCACAAUUGGCAUCAUAUUCAUGAUUAUUCUAUCACUCAAAAAGGACAUGAUUAUUCUAUCACUGGUACUACAUUUGGAGAUGUUACUAUCGAUGCAUGUGUUACUAGUAUGGCUCAUCGCUCAUCCUUCUGUUGCUGGAGAGAUGCAGAACUUAUGCGCAUUGUGCUGUUCGGUGGGGCAGUUAGUUGGGAUUCAUACUAGUCCAUCAAAUAGGAUCCAUAGUUGCUAUUACAAUAGCACUGCAUAUUUCUGCCUCAUUGUUGUAGAUAUGAGAAAUGUAACUGUGAUUUGAAAACUUUACUUUCUAGCUUCCUGCUUCAAGCUAUUGCUCAUUUUCCCAACUUCUUAUGUUAAUUUGCUUUUUGUGCUGAUUAUUUACCAAUCAUUUCCUCAUAUGGUGCAUUAGGGGUCUUUAGGACCUUAGCAUUCCAGCUGCACUUGUGAGUGUCGUGGGAAUCAUAAUACAGGAGCCCGUGAUCAGAAGUUUCUUAUAAAUUAGUCAGAAGUUUCAGGAUGCUGGUCGAGGCAUGUGGAAAGCUCUCAGAUCCCCUGUUGUUUGGAGGCCAUGUUUAUACAUGUACCAAUAAUAUGUUUUAUUGGUCUACCAAUGCACCAAAUGAUCCUUUUAUUUAACAGGCACUUCUUUGCUCUUCAACUUUUUAAUCUGGAGUCACGACAUCUGCAAAAUUCUCAAACUGAAUACUUACUCAUUCUCAAAAUACACACAGGCAAUAUCAUUUGUGUAAUUGGAUUAUUAUACUAGUUGAAGCGUAAGCUCAAUCUUUCCCAAGUGCUGGAGGCAGUUGGAUUAAAAUCAGCAGCUGUUGGUGCAGUAGGCUCUCUUUCCACUGAGUGCUUCUGUUGGCACAGUUGCUGUAUGUUGCUUCAGGAAUGCUGGACGUGAUAUUGGUUUUUCGUAUAACUUGAUAGUUGUGGUUCCGGAUUAUGUAGUCGUCAUAUUUGGUGCAGCUGUCAGUCAUGUGAUUGGACGUUUCAAAUUGAUGCCUCUUCUCAUGGAAGCUCUGGCCCUCUGGCAUAGAAGGCAAAUUCUUCGCCUUGCUCGUGUCAAUUUGAUCAUGUAGGUUCGAUCACGGUAUCAGAACUGAUCAUAGCUCAUCACACUCAUAAGAAAUAAAUCGAUCCAUGGUUAAUCGAAUUCACUUUUCUCUAGUCAAAUACAUAAGAGGAUAGAUACACCAGCUGGAGAAUGGUGGCUGCAACUAUCAUCUGCUUAAAUUUCACAUCUUGUAGCAGUUCCUUUAACCUUCGCCUCUUGUGAAUUUUGCCAGAUAACUUUGGUUUUCAUUUAAAGAAUAGGCAACAUGUCAGUGAGACGUCAGAGGGUCUAGCAUCGAGACAUGCUUUACAGGCCUAAAAGAAUUCAAGAAUUCAGAGAUUCCCCUUGAAAAAUAUAACCUCAUUUGUGGUGAUUCUGGUGAACAUGCAGAAACAAUUCCCUUUUGUCCUUUUGUUUGUCAGUAACCGAUGUAGUUAUAUGAUUAAUAUAUUACUACAUUUAUCUAUUUCUGGGGAGUUUAUGUGGUCUGGAUGAAAGAUCAAGUUUGAGAAUAUCCCUUCUUCAUUUUUUGCCUAGUUUCUUUUAUAUCUCUCCAGCAGGAUUCUUUUCCUAAGAUUAGGAAAAGCUCGAGGUUCAAGACGACAAGGAGGCAGGUCCCACGAAAUUCCCUGUGUUCAUAUGAGGCGAGGCUUGCAAGCGCCAAGCACACCUGAGACGCGUCCCUCUUAGCGAAGUAAAACAUCCCGGUUGAAGCAGGUGUCGAGAAUUGAAAAGCUCGGUGCUGAGGGAUACCCAGUGAAUUGUCUCAAGAACUCAGCCUUGACAGAUGUGUAGACAGAUGGGGGCAGCCUUGUGAUCACGGUCCCUGAGUCGAUCAAGACCCCGUU